rnacentral:rRNA from 1 species
AACGAACGCUGGCGGCAGGCCUAACACAUGCAAGUCGAACGCCCACUUCGGUGGGAGUGGCAGACGGGUGAGUAACGCGUGGGAACCUACCUUUAGGUACGGAAUAACAGUUAGAAAUGACUGCUAAUACCGUAUGUGCCCGAGAGGGGAAAGAUUUAUCGCCUUUAGAUGGGCCCGCGUUGGAUUAGUUAGUUGGUGAGGUAACGGCUCACCAAGACGACGAUCUAUAGCUGGUUUGAGAGGAUGAUCAGCCACACUGGGACUGAGACACGGCCCAGACUCCUACGGGAGGCAGCAGUCGGGAAUAUUGGACAAUGGGCGCAAGCCUGAUCCAGCCAUGCCGCGUGAGUGAUGAAGGCCUUAGGGUUGUAAAGCUCUUUUAUCCGGGACGAUAAUGACGGUACCGGAGGAAUAAGCCCCCGGNUAAACUUCGUGCCAGCAGCCGCGGUAAU